rnacentral:rRNA from 1 species
UACGUAGGGCGCGAGCGUUGUCCGGAAUUAUUGGGCGUAAAGAGCUCGUAGGCGGCCUGUUGCGUCUGCUGUGAAAUCCCGGGGCUUAACCCCGGGCGUGCAGUGGAUACGGGCAGGCUGGAGGCAGGCAGGGGAGAAUGGAAUUCCCGGUGUAGCGGUGAAAUGCGCAGAUAUCAGGAGGAACACCGGUGGCGAAGGCGGUUCUCUGGGCCUGUACUGACGCUGAGGAGCGAAAGCGUGGGGAGCGAACAGG